UACGUAGGGUGCGAGCGUUGUCCGGAAUUAUUGGGCGUAAAGAGCUCGUAGGCGGUGUGUCGCGUCGGCCGUGAAAAACCUGGGGCUCAACUCUGGGCGUGCGGUCGAUACGGGCAUCACUUGAGUUCGGCAGGGGAGACUGGAAUUCCUGGUGUAGCGGUGAAAUGCGUAGAUAUCGGGAAGAACACCAAAGGCGAAAGCGCUCUGCUGGGCCGAAACUGACACUGAGAGACGAAAGCUAGGGGAGCGAAUGGG
rnacentral:rRNA from 1 species